GACUUUAUUCAGAGGGUCAUGCUGAAUCUGGGAGUAGGUAACCUUAGCCCAAAACUUCAGAGCUUGAAAAAUGCCCUUUUGCAGUAAAUCCUCUUCAGUCCAAGUCCAAAAAUGAAGUCAGACAUUCUUGAAAGUUUGGUAUCCCAGAAUAUCAAAUAUGAAGCUUAUCCGUCCAGUGCUGAAUUUGAUGCAGUAGCUGAAGCACUUUUGAAGAAACACCCAUGUAUAAAGGAGCAAGGUUCUGUUUCUGGCUUUUAUGGGUGGAAAAUAAGCUUGAAAUAUAAAAUGGCAAACUACCGCACAAAGCUGCGCAAUAACGGAUGCUCCGAAUGUGAACGCUGAAUGUGAAUUCCUUCAAGCGUAAACAAGGUGAUCUACGCACAUCCCCAAAUCAAGUGAAGAAAGCUAGAAGAGCAGAGUUGAACUUUUGUCCAGAUUAUCCAACAGGGCAAUCCCAAGAGAGCCUUGACGAAGAAAGGUUGGCACGUUUGUCUGAAGUGAGAAAGAGCAACAACCAUCAGGUGGUUAAGGAGAAAAUGGAAAAGACAUUUGCUUACAGGCGGCAUGAGGUGAUUGAAGAAGAGCCUUUCUUUGCUGAGUUCAAAAGAAGGUGGCCAGCUCUUUUCUCUGAGCAUGAGGUGGAAGCAGAGUUUACUCGCAUCACCACUGUCCCACAGAUAUCUAAAUUCAUGCAACAGCUGGAUCAUCACUCUACACAGCUGAUGACAAUCUUCAAAAGGAAAGGAGGAGCAGCAGGACAUAAAAUACGAAAUAUAAUGGCAGACUUGGAUACGGUAUUUUUAAUUUUAUUAAUUUUUGAUGAUGAAGAUGAACCAGCUGGUCACCAUAGCACAUUCCACCAUACCAAAAAAGUACCUAAAGUUGCCAUUUUUCUUUUAAAUGCAUUGUAAAAAUUAUUAGCCUGACCCUGACUACUGCCUGUCUACUGAAAGCACUAAUGGUUUACCUCAAUGAGGACCCUGUGAAUCUCAUAAGAGAGUACAUGGUAAGUAUUUUGGCCUUUGGUUUCUACUGUACUUUGUCUUCAGAAACGAAAAAUGUGAUGUAUGUAUGUUGUAACCGAAGAUUUAAUUGUUCUGUUUUUGAGGAUGUUGAAGACAACCAGGAGGCUAUGAACCAGACAGUCUUUUAAAUCUUUGCCAUAAAGAUGGAAGGUGCAGAGUCUGCAGAUGGCCUGGCAGAUGUUGGAAUAAUCAUUUAAGCAAUGAACUCCAUUCACAAAGAGAUACCCGACUCUACAGAAGAAUCUUCAUCAGGACAAAGGACGACGCAACAACGACACGUAUAGAACUUCUGAUCAAAGUUCCAAUCUACUUGAAAUCGUUUAGUUGCAACCUGAGUUUUACAUCGAUAGUAUAGUAUCGAUUCUAUACUGCAGUUUAUUGAAUAAGAGAAGGCGACCGGAUCCCUCAUUUAUUCACGUUGACGAAAAUAACUUUCAUUCCCUUCGAGACUCAUCAGACGACCACCAGGCCGUCCCGAGUUUCAGCUGACGAGCUGAGAAGGCCACCGGCAACUUCCACGAACCUGCGUUCCACGAUGCUCAUCAGAAGCCCGCAGAAAACAUUGUUUGUCGCCAUGCAAGAGCGAUCCAAGUAAGGCUAAUAUCUGGGCAGAACUUAGUUUUAUAUGUGUGUUUUAAUCUAUGUGAGAAGUGGUGUUACUUUAUUUCAUUAAGAUCUAAAUGCAAUCUGAAAUUCACAGUCUACACGGUCCUUGACCGCUGAUAAUAUUGCUUUGUUCUUUUGCUAUUGUUAGAUAGGUUGUGCAUUUAUUUAUUUUAUUUUUAUUUUUUCUCUCUUUUUUUCUCUUUACAUCACCAUCUGAACAUAUACGUCCACAUCGCAAUUUCAGUGUUGUUAAAUAUCUUGUAUCGAGUUAAGGCCUAGCUUGGAUUUAGUCCUUAAGGCAAGAAUCCUUUGUUUAGGCAUUCAUUACAUUCUGUGGACCUCCCCCAACUAAAUUGGCGCCUAAGAACACAGAGUUCAGGUCUCGGACCCACAGCCGCAUCCGGUGACCAUCCAUCGCCUGUGCGCUUGCGCAUAGCCUCCCUCUCACUUCCCCCAUCUCUCCAUUGAGCGCAAGCGCGUUUAUUUGCAACUGCGCAU